UACGGUGAAAACGUUCCCGGACCUUGCACACACCGCCCGUCAAGCCAUGGAAGCUGGGUGUACCUAAAGUCGGUAACCGUAAGGAGCCGCCUAGGGUAAAACUAGUGACUGGGGCU
rnacentral:rRNA from 1 species